GAUAUAUCGCAAAUACAAUCUACAUUCACAAGUUUAAAUUAAUGACACUAAGCACAUGCGCAAAGGCACGGUGAAUUGUGCACAUGUAAAGUCCCUAGAUUACUUCUAGGGACUUUAUGCACAUGCACACGCUUCCGAAAAUUUGAUGCAAUUAGGGUGGUUUUAAUAAAAGUUUAAUUUGUGUUUAUUAUUAUAAUAUAUAUACAAACAGUUCUGUGGUGAAGUUUUAGUUUUUGGCAUGCUACCCAGCGACAUGUAAGUACCUAGAAAGUUUUUAUAUUUGAUUAAAAUUUGUACAUUAAAGCGAUCUUAACCUAACUUUAUAUGCACUUCAUGUACGAUUCUUUUUAACAUAUUUCAUUAGGGCGACGCUCAAAAAUACACUUUGUGGUUUGUUUAGUAACCGACGUUCACAAGUUUGCAAAGGUAUAUUAAAUGAGUAACCUGGCACUUACCUAAACCUUGCGAUAGUUACCGCAUCACUGAUCGUCAAUUAAUAUUUGUUCGUAGCAAGUUUUUGGACCUUACACAACAAAACAAAAUGAAAAGAAGCAGAAAAGAUUUGGUGUAGAAGAAUUCAUACAAUCACCAGCCACUCCUGUAGCAAUCGACGUAGAAGUUAACAAGAAGUUUGACAAAAUUUUGGAAAUGCUGCAUUCUGUCCAUUUAUAUGUACGUAGCAUUGAUGAAAUUUAAAAAAAUUACACUCGGUGACAACUGAAGAACGUAAUCAGCCUACAGCUGAAACAAAAUUUAUAAACGAUCUACUGCCAAUCCCUAAUAUUGAUGCUCUCAAACAAUUUGAAGUUUUAUUAGAGAAUGAAGGCCAUACUAAACAGUUUCACAUAAUUUUAAGUAACAUUGGUGGUAAAAAUGGAAAGGAUAAUAUUCACCGUCUUUUAAAGAAAGUUUAUUCAAACCAAAUGUCUACAAAGUGCUCUUGGUUAGGACAAAGAGGAAACUUUAAAAUUAGCACCACAAAAAGUAUGCAAAUUAUAAAAGGUGUCACAAUAAAUUCAUAUGUUGAUGUCAAGGAAAGCGAUUUCGAACGCAUUUCCAGCGAAUGGUUCCGGUUGGCAAAAUUACGAGCAGACCGAGAAAGAUAAAUACCUAUUUUGAUAUUCUUAUUACCUUUUUAUUUAACAGAUUAUUAAUUACCUGUACGAGUUGUGUUACGUUUGCUAUGUAUAUUUUACAUAAUAAAUUAGUUAAAAGAUA